GGGUCGUGCUUUGCCGGUGGGACGGCAGACAGAUGGACCCGUCACGUCUGUAUUCUUGCGAGCGCUCCGCCGAGGUCCCGGCGGCGAGGGUG
rfam:Jannaschia sp. CCS1, complete genome.